GAUGAACGCUGGCGGCGUGCUUAACACAUGCAAGUCGAACGGAAAGGCCCAAGCUUGCUUGGGUACUCGAGUGGCGAACGGGUGAGUAACACGUGGGUGAUCUGCCCUGCACUUCGGGAUAAGCCUGGGAAACUGGGUCUAAUACCGGAUAGGACCACUUCUUGGAUGUUGUGGUGGAAAGUUUUCUCGGUGCGGGAUGAGCUCGCGGCCUAUCAGCUUGUUGGUGGGGUAAUGGCCUACCAAGGCGUCGACGGGUAGCCGGCCUGAGAGGGUGUACGGCCACAUUGGGACUGAGAUACGGCCCAGACUCCUACGGGAGGCAGCAGUGGGGAAUAUUGCACAAUGGGCGCAAGCCUGAUGCAGCGACGCCGCGUGGGGGAUGACGGCCUUCGGGUUGUAAACUCCUUUCGCUAGGGACGAAGCGUUUUUGUGACGGUACCUGGAGAAGAAGCACCGGCUAACUACGUG
rnacentral:rRNA from 1 species